GUGAAUGAUAGAGGUGCGGUGAAUAAAGAGUACGUAUUGUGAGGUAGCCAAACAAUGACCAAUACGGAAAGGAAUUCCCGCCGAAGUCUAGGUUCAGGGCAAUGAAUCUUAGGCUGGGCUUGCAGUGAAAAAGUGCAAGACUGUCACCGGAAAUUGGUGGAGUGCUAUCUCGUCC
rnacentral:ncRNA from 2 species